UGAAGCUUGACAAAUAAAUAAAAGCAAGCUCAUUGCCCAGACAGGACCGCGAUGUGCUGGAAUUCAGAUCACACGGAACUUUUUAGUUUAUCGAGUAAAGGAAUGGGAAUCUCUAACAAUUUUCAAUACAUUUUUUGAUCUACAGUAGGCUAUAUAAUAGUUUUGUUUUUGCAUAUAUAGGAUAUAUAAUAUUUCCCAUUUUAUUUCAUUAUCAAACAGAGAGUCGACACGUUCACAUCACAUCACAUCACUUGUCAGUAAUUUUUCUGGGUUACUUUUUUGUAAUCCAAGCAACACUGCCACAUUUAUCAUCGGCAUACUGGUACUGGUGGCUUGGGAGAGUGAGUUUGACAGAUCGGUGUAAUCCAAAAUGUCGACAAACAGCAGCCCUUCCACAACCGGAGCCCUGGCAGCCCAUUCGGAUACAAGACGAUGGUAGAACUGAUGCUGGCUCGUGAUAUUGGACAGUGGUCUGAAAUGUUCGACUUAUCCACUUGUACACUUUAUUCGUGAUAUUUCUGAUGCUGAGGCCUGGCUCGAGGCACAUCUUCAAUACCAUAUGUUCUAUUAGUAAUUCUGAAACGCAAAUAAAUCUCGAUUCAAACAAAAAACCUAA